AUUUUUCUAUUAUACCUCAUCUCUAAGUAGUGGCAAAUACCUUGUAGUCAAAUACUAUUUCUACGAAUAACAAGUUUUCUGAUUAUAUUUUUAUAAUUAGUUUUAUUUUGUUACUUUACAUUUUGAAUACACCAUGUUCUAAAAGAUGAUUCAAUGAACUGCUUGUUGAAUCAGCAGUAGUUAAAACCAAACUUCUUCCAAGCA
rnacentral:misc_RNA from 1 species